UGUACACUGAUGACAGGCUGCUGUGCGUGCGCGUGUCGGACAAGAGCAGCUAUAAGAAAAAUAAAAGUUUAAACUGUCAAAACUUUAAAAUGAAUGCAAAUGUAAUUUCGGCAUGAAGAAUCAAUGAAUCAAUUUACAUGAUAUAACCACUUUAAGGCAGAGAGAGAAAUCCAAUAUUGCAUGUCGCACAUGAACAACGGGUUAUAAAAAUGCUCGCACUGCGAAAAACGGUCUCUUUUUGCAGCCCCAUUCAGGAGCCUGAUGACAAAAGUAAACAUUAACAUCAGUUCACGAGAUUGGCAAAUUUAGUAAGUACCAAUCGAGUCAUUUAAUGAAACCUUGGGUAAUGAAUCGCAUAACACACCUCACCAUCACUGGUUCAAGCAUCUAGUCUGUUGGUAUUGUGGUUGAAAUUCAAAGCCGCCAGGAGAAGUCUGUUGAAAAAGUAUAAUUUCUACCCAUUACAAGUUGUGCAUAUAUGAAUAAACCCAGAAGUAAAAGCAACAUAUACCCAGAUAGCACACGUACGUCUCAGAUACGUCUUGUAAAGAUCUUUACAUCUGCUGACGAUCGUCUUUGAAUAAUACGUCUUCCAUAUCUCUACAAGACGUAUUUAAGAUCUUAAAAAAUUAUAAAUCCUACCUGCCUGCAAUGCAUCUCCGUUUGGUCUUGAAUCCGAUCAAACGCAGACGAAUCAGCAAAGACCUCCAACUCAUUUCAUUUUUUAAAUAAAUGUCUUGUUUAAUUGUUUUAAAAAUAUAGUCAACAGGUUUUUAAGGGUUGGCAUUAAUUUUGAAGCAAAAAUAUAAUUAAUAAAAGCCCAUAUCACGUAUAAUAAAAAAAAACAAUAUAGACAUUUUGCGUUUAGUCCAAAACGUUAAAAAGGCACUUACCGUAGAUAAAGCACCAUGCACAAGAAAAGGUGAUCUCAUACUCAUUCUGACUACAAAAUAUUAUCCUUCAUAAGUGCGACAACUUUUGCCAAAUCCCGUAGGAAGGACGGCAAAAACAUCAACAAAUGCCUUGCUCGCGUAUCUCUGUUCUUCUUUUAAAAUCAAUGCUCUGUCGAUAUAUUUUAGAACAGACUCAAUGUCAGAAUCCACACAUCUGAUUUCUACAGCGGCAGCCAUUUCGUUGUAAACAGAUUGAACACACAUGCUCUUUGGUGACGUGGUUGAUACGUUACUGUUGAUCAUCUGUCCAUCAUCGUAUAAAGCCCGCCCUCACAAUUUGAUUCGUCGGCCAGUUUUGGGACUCGCAUAGUAGCUCCUCAACGGUGAAACCCCAGACCGAUCUUCCCGUUUCUCAAAAUGUUGUGGGCGGGGCUAAGAUCGACUGGCACCCAGGCUACCUCUGACUGUUUUAUCAGUCUGAAAUGAAAAAAGUUAUACAUUUAAUUAAAUAAAACAAUUGUCAACAAGCUGAUUAUCUUAAAGAGCACCUAUUAUGAGAUACACGUUUUUAAACAUCCUUUUGUGUGUAAGUUUGUAUUAGUACAUGCUAACGAUAUUCAAAAAGUACAUACCUCAAAGAAAACGAUGACGCGAGUUAUCGUCUGUAACGUUCGAGGACUACAAAAAACACUCGGAUUGUAGGCAACAGUUUACUUCCUGGGAUUGGUGACGUAGAUAAGACCAACAUUAUCAUAGUUCAGCCCUCUCUGCUUUGCUUGGGUACGCCCUCAAAGACGAGGGUGGAGAGCGCUGAGUCAGAAGAGAGCUAAAAUGGCGGAGGUUGGGAGUCCCUGCUUUGACCCUGUUUGCAAACUCUUGUUUCAUUGUUUAAGCGAUUAAAUCUCUCGAGUAGACGCUGUCUCUUUAGAUGCAAGGGCAAAAUAGCACUUUAUGGACUUACACAGAGGACAUCAUGUUUAAUACGGUUCCGGAAAAAUCCAGUCAGAAGUUGUUCACGGAGUUUUCACAAUAACUGCUUCUCAUGAACCGAAGCUGCGCGACGUCUCCUCCUGAAAGUUGGAUUACCGUGCACUUCUGGAUCACAGGCUAUUCGCAGCUGGACACAUCCUUCUACACUGUAUGCAAACAUGCAACAUCAUAACACACAGUACAAGGAGUCAGACUGGCAUAUGAGGAGCAAAGGAACCCAGGCAGUAGCAUCGUUUCACAAUGUUUCCAUCACCAUCAUCAGUGGAUGCCUUUGCCGUCCGUAGCCUGAGAUUUCAGAUUUGCAGCAAAAAAUGUGACUUUCCCAUUUAUUGGAAUGCUGUGCAGGUUGUACCUUGCAGCCAUCCAUUACAAUGUCACCAAGCCGUAACAAAAGCAGGAGAGGGAAAGUACAAGGCUAUGUUCCCAAAACACACAAAUGACAUACCUUAUGUUGAUGAUGUGAUCAGGCUUGUGUUUGAUGAGGUAUUUGAAGAUAAGCUGAAGGAAACCCCGAUUCCAAUGGACCUGGCAUCACAGUUUGAGAGACCUUCAAAGGAGGACGUGAUUGCAUGCCAUCUUCAGUGCAGGGGUCGUCGGAAGCCAACAUUCCGAUCAGGAAGCUCCAAGCAUAUCUGGAGAACAACACACGACAGGAUGAUAACCCUAAAGUGUCAUCUUAGAUAGCAUCAGCUGACAAAGCUUUGAUAUGCCAUUUAUCUGAAUAGAUAGCUGUAAGAAGUGAAUUGAACAAUUUUUGAAAGAGCACAAUAUGGUUACUAAAGUAUGUUUAUUUGUAUAUUGUUUAACAUUUAAAUAUAUAUUUGUAAUAAAUAAACUUUUGACUGACUACUAUAUUUUCUUUAAAGUUACAUCUUUUGUUCUUUUGGGUACUUUGUUACUAUAAUGAUACUUUAGUGUUAUUGGUUUAAAAAUGUAAUAAAACUUACUCUAGUCCUGCACCUCAAAG